rnacentral:lncRNA from 1 species
UUGCUUUUCAAGUGUAGUAAGGAGUUCAGCGCUACAGUUUUAUCACUUUGUAAUGGUAGCUCUUGGCUUAAUACUCCAGAUUUCACCCCUGAAAACUGUGGCACUUGUGUAAACGCUGGAGACUUCACAUCUUGCAGCUGUGUUCCUGGGCAUGCCUCCAAGGGUUUCACUUUGUGCAGCUGUGGUCUUGGGGUCAACUCAGAAGAUUUCACAUCUUGCGAGUGAAGCCCAGGUUUGAAUGCCAUAGAUUUUAUAUCACAGAGCUUUGAUGUUGAAAUUGGGCCACAUGAUUUCACAGUUCUCAACUGUAGCCCAGAUUUCAAAGCAAUAGGUUUGAGCCCUGGCAACUGAUGUUCCUGGAGUGAUGUCAAAGGUUGUAUACUUUGGAGCUUUGGCCUUGGAGUCAACUCAGAUGACUUCACAUUUCUUAAUUGUACUGAAGGUUUCAAUUCUACAGUUGUGACAACUCGAGAUUGUGAACCACAUUUUAGCACAGAUUUCACACCUUGGAACUCAGGUCCUGGUAUCCACUGCACAGAGUUCACACUUCCAAGCUGUGAGUCUUUGUUUGACUCCACAUCUUUUACACCUUGAAGCUGUGGCUCUGAGGUUGACGCCAGAAUUUUCCCUUUCUGCAACUGUGGUCCUCGGGACAUCUUAGGAGUUUUCACACAUUGCAACUGUGGCCCAAAGUUAAACUCCACAGGUUUUGCACCUUGAAGUUUUGGCCCUAGAGUCAAUUCAGAUGAUUUUACACCUCCCGACUCUGUGGAGGAUUUCAACUCUGCAGGCUUGACACCUCGAGAUUGUGAACCAAGAUUCAACCCUACAGUUUUUACACCUUGGAACUCAGGUCCUGAUAUCCACUGCACAGAUUUCGCAUUUCCAAGCUGUGAGUCUUGGUUUAGCUCUACAGUUUUCACACCUUGAAAAUAUGGCUCUGAGGUCGAUGCUGGAAUUUUCCCUUUUUGCAGCUGUGGUCCUUGGGACAACUCAGGAGCUUUCACAAAGUGCAACUGUGACCCAAGGUUAAACUCCAUAGAUGUUACACUUUGAAGUUUUGGCCCUAGAGUCAGUUGAGAUGACUUUACACCUCCUGACUCUAUGGAAGAUUUCGACUCUCCAGGUUUGACACCUUGAGAUUGUGAACCAAGAUUUAACCCUAUAGUUUUUACACCUUGGAACUCAGGUCCUGGUAUCCACUGCACAGAUUUCACACUUGUAAGCUGUGAGUCUUGGUUUAACUCCACAGUUUUCACACCUUGAAGUUGUGGCUCUGAGGUGGAUGCUAGCAUUUUCCCUUUUUGCAGCUGUGGUCCUGAAGACAACUCAGAGGUUUUUACACACUGCAACUGUGGCCCACGGUUAAACUCCAUAGGUUUUGCACCUUGAAGUUUUGGCUCUAGAACCAAUUUAGAUGCUAUCAUAUCUCCCAACUGUAUGGAAAGUUUCAAUUCUGCAGGUUUGACACUUCGAGAUUGUGACCCAAGAUUUAACCCUACAGAUUUUAGACCUUGGAACUCAGGUCUUGUUAUCCACUGAACAGAUUUCAUUCUUCCAAGCUCUAGCUCUUUGUUUAACUCCACAAUUUUCACACUUUGAAUCUGUGGCUCUACAGUCGAGCCCAAGGGUUUCACUUGGUGCAACUGUGGUCCUGGGGUCAACUUGGGAGAUUUCAUACUUUGCAACUGUGGUUCAUGUUUGAACUCUUUAGCUUUUACAUCUUGCAUAUUUGAUUCUGGAGUCAAUUCAGAUGAUUUUAUACCUUUCGACUGUAGGUCAGACUUGAGGUCUACCGAUUUUAUACCUUCAGAUUUUGGCUCUGGAAUUAACUCCAAAGACAUUACACCUUCUGACUCAGACCCUUUCUUUACUUGCUCAAAAUUCACACAUUGCUGCUCUUGUGAGUUUACAGAUAUCUGACCAUCCUGUUCAGGCUCAAGGGUUAAAUCCACAGGUGCCAUCCCUUGAAACUGUUGCUUUAGGGCUAAAUCCACAGAUUUUACUUCUUCAAACUCUUCUCCUCUGGUUAUAUUCACAAAUUUUACUGCCUGCCUCUUUUGCCAUGGGGUCAACUUUACAGGUUUUACACAUUGCAGAUGUGGAUCUUGAGUCUCCUUUAUAGAUUUUAAACUUCGAAGCUUUAAACAUGGAGUAAUCUCCACAAAUUUCAUAUCUUGCAUUUGUGGGACUGAGGUCAGUUCUUCAGGUUUCACACUUUGUAGCUGAGGCCUUUGAAGCGUCUCCAUAGAUUUAACCCCUUGAAGCAAUGGCCCUGGUGCAAAAGCCAUAGACUCACCUUGCAUCUUUAGCCCAAGUUUUAAUUUAGCAGUUUUCAUAUCUUGCAGCUGUGUACCUAGGACCAACUCCUCAGUUUUUAAAUCUUGAAUUCUUGAACAUGGAGUCAACUCCACAGAUUUUACACCUUGAAGCUCAGAAUCAGGGGUGAAUUCCACAGAUUUGACAUCUUCUGUCUGUGACCCUAAGGUUAUCGCCACAGAUUUCCCACCUUCCGGCUGUGGGAAGGUUAUCUCCAUAGAUUUUAUGCUUUCCAGGCAUGGUCCUGGAGUUAAGGUCACAGAUUUCAUAUCUUCCAAGUGUGAUCCUGAAGUCAGCAACUCAGAUUGAAGCUUUGAGCCCGGGGUUACCUCCUCAAGUUUUACACCUCCUGCCUGUGGCUCUGGGGUUAACGUCAUAGAUUUGACAUCUUCCAAUUCUGGCUCUGGUGUUAACUGCAUAGUUUUCACAUCUCCCAAAUGUGGCCCUGAGAUUAAUUCCGCAGAUGUCAUAUCUUCUAGCUGUGGCUCUGAGGUUAGCUUUUCAGAUCUGAAACCUUUAAGUUUCAAGACUGGGCUCCACUCCACAGGAUUUACGUUUUGUAACUGUGGUCUUUGUAUCAAUUCAGAAGAUUUAAUACCUUGUAACUGUGGUUGUCUGGUCAACUCAGAAUGAUUUACACUGGGCAACUGUGGCCCAGGAGUCAACUCCAUGGAUUCUGCAUCUGGCAUUUGUGGCUCUGAGACUAAUUUAUAGGAAACUUCAGCUUCAAGGCUUGGUUCUUGGUUGCCUGCUACAUAUUUUACACCUUGAAACAGUGGCUCUGGUACUAACAACUCAGGCUUAACCCCUUCCCCCUCUGGCCCUGGAGCCAUUGUCACAGGUGGUACCCCUUGCAUCUUUGGCCCUGGGGUCAUCUCUAAAACUUUUACACAUUGUAGCUGUGGCCCUGAGUUUAACUCUAAAGAUUUCACACCUUGAGGUUGAGUUCCUGGUACUAAAUCAAAACAUUUGACAUCUUGUAGCUGCAGCUCUGGGUUAAGCCCUACCUGUUUCAUACUUUGAGUUCCUGGAAAUAUCUUUGCUAAUUUGGAAUCUUGCAGCCCUAACUUUGGAACCACCUCUACAAAAUUCACACUAUGAAACAUUGAUCCUGGAGUUUGAUCCGCAGAAUUGACACCUUGCAGCUUUGGCCUUGAAGUCAAUUCAGAAAAUUUGAUAUCUUGCUGCCAUGGCCCUAGGUUUACUUCCUCAGAUUUUACACUUUGAAAUGGUAGUUCUGAGGUCAAUUUCGCAGAUUUCAUGCUGUGAAACUGUGAUCCUUCAGUAGACAGAACAGAUUUCAUAUCUUCAAUAUGUGUCCCUUGGCUUGACUGCAAAGAUGACUCUGGUACAAAAUCUAGAGACUUUAUAUCUUCGAGCUGAGCUCCUGGUGUCAACUGCAUAUGUUUGAAACCUUGAUGCUUUGGCUCUGGGAUCAAAUCAGAAAAUUUGACAUCUUGCAAGAAUAGUCCUGGGCUUAGUUCCACAAAUUUCACAUCUUGAGGUUGUGAUUCUGGAGUCAGCUGUACAAAUUUGACACUUUGAUGUGUUGGCUCUGGGAUAAAAUCUGACAAUUUGAUGUCCUGAACUGGGGAAUCUGAGGUCAAUUCAUCAGAUUUCACACCAUAAUGUGGGGGUUGUGAGAUUAAUUCUACAGGUUUUUCGCCUUGAAGAAGUGGUCCUGGAAAUAUCUUUGAAAAUCUGACACUUGGCAACUGUGGCCCUGAGGUCAAUUCAGAAGAUUUGACACUUGGCUGAGAUGGGCCUAGAUUUAAAUCCACAGAUUUUACACGUUGGAGCUCUUCCCUCUUAGUCAAAUCCUCCAAUGGCAUACUUUGUAGCGGUAGCUCUGGCAUCAUCUCCUCAGAUUCUACCACUCCUGUAGUUGACUGUUGGAUUAAAUUCAUGUGUUUCAUAUCUUGCAACUGUGACUCUAGACCCAGCUGCUUAGACUUUUCUCCCUGGAGCUGUGGCCCUGGGGUCAGGUCCAUAACAUGUGGUUUUUGUUCUGUAAUUAACUUUUUAGAUCCUAUCAAUAAUGGAGAUGACUCACUGGUUAACUCCAUAGAUUUCAAAUUUUGCAGUAGUGGCUCUGAUUUCUCAUAUUGAGUGCCUGGUCCUAGAGUCAACUCCAAAAAUCCUGUUUCUGAAUGUGGUGGUACUGGGAUGACCCCCUGGGUCUUAGCAACUUGAGGCAAUGCCAACCCCACAGUUUCUUUAUAUUCUGACAUGGGGGGUAUCUCUGACAACUCAGUAACUUCUGAACAUGGCCCUAGAUUGCAGUAAACAAACUUCAUAUCAUGGGGCUGUGGCUCUGUGGUCACCCCCUCUGAUUUCACACUUUGCAUUUCUGAUCCUGGUAUCAAAUCCAGAGAUUCUUUUGUUGUGUGUUGUGAUACUGGAGUUUCCCCCAUUGCUUUUCCAAGUUGGUGCAUUGUCUUGAGAAUGUCUUGGAAUGACACUGAGCUCAUCUCCACAGAUUCUGAAGUUUGGCUCAGUGGCCCUGGGCUAGUUCCUAAAGAUGGUUGUGUCAACCCAAUAGAUUUUUCCACUUGGUGACAGUUGUCAGAGGUCAACUUUGCUUCUUUUCCUUGAUAUCCUGGUCCGGAGAUCAUCUCUAAAGAUUCUGAGGCUUGAUGCCAUGGGGUCAAUCUUUCAGGCUCUGUGGCUUCAUGAUUUUGUUUGGGGCUCAUCUCUGCAGCUUUUACUUCCUUAAAUUGUGUCCCUUUGUUCAGUUCCCCAUAUUUCAUACCUUGCACCUGUGUCUCAGGAAUUGACCUCCUACAUUCUACCAUUUGAGGAGUUUUCACAUCUUCAAGCAAUAGUACUGGGGCUACCUUCUCAGAUCUGACAUCGUGUAACCAUGGCUUUGGGGCCAACUCCGCAGAUUUUGUAUCUUCCGUUGGUGGUCUUAGGGUCAGCUCCACAGUGUUUAUAUCUUGAAACUCUGGUGGUAGGACCAGAUGAACAGAUCUCCUACCUUGCAACUGUGAACUUGGGGUCAAGCCCCCAGAUUCUAUAACAUGUGGCUGUGCUGGUGGAAUUAUCUCCCUGAAAUCCAUGGCUUGUAAUAGUGCCACUGGAAUUCCUUUCACAUAACCCAUGACUUGAUGUAAUGGUGCUGAGAUCAUUUCCAGUGAUUUUGUGUCUUGACAUAUUAGCCCUGGAGUAGCCUUUCCUUGUUCCAUGACUUGACUUUGUGACCCUGAGGUCAUGCCCGCAGAUUCCAUGACUUUAUGCUGUGGCCCUGGCAUCAUUUCCACAGUUUCCGUAACUGCAUGUUGUGGCCUUAGAUUCAUCUUUUCUGGUUUUGUGUCUUGAUGGUUCAACAAUGUGUUCAUUUUCACUGACUCUAUGACUUGAUAUCGUGGUGUUGGAGUCAUUCCCACUGAUUCUAUACAUGGAUGUGAUUUGUUAAUCAUCCCCAUAGAAUCCAUAACUUGAAGCAGUGCUACAGGAGUUACUUUCUUAUUAUCUGUGACUUGAUUCAGUAAUCUUGUGGCCACCCUCUCUGAUUCCAUAACUUGGUGCUGAGACCUUGGGGCUGCCUCCAUUGAUUGAAUGACUUGAUUUGGUGGUUUGGGGGUUAUGCUCACUGUUUCCAUGGUUUCCAUUGGUUUCACAACUUGACUUGGCAGCUGUGAGAACAAACCCGCAAAUUCUGAAUGUGAUUCUGGGAUCAUCCCCAUUGAAUCCAUGACCCGAAGUAGUGCCAAUGGAGUUACCUUUAGGCUAUCUUUGACUUGAUAUGAUAGCCUUGGGGUCAACUCCACAUUAGUCACUUGUGUCUUGUGCUGCUGUAUCCUUUUUUCUGGAAAACCUAUGACCCUCUCCUCUAUACUAAGCUCUAGCACAUGUUUUGGAUCAUUCUUCAGUAAAGGAGUUUCCUCUUGAAUUACAUUAAGUUCUAAACUUCUUGGAGGUAGACUGCCCAUUGAUGUAACUAAAGGCUUGAAUCCAAGGAUUUGAGGGCCAUCCCCAGGUUGUAACUGCUUAUCUGAGAUAAGUGACUGUGAAAGUUUUGUUUCUGUGCUAUUUGAUCCAGAUCCCACUCCAGCAUUCACAUGGAGCUGAAAUGAUGGAAGGUCUGAGGAUUUGUUGUUGAUAUUUUGCUCAGUGUUUUGAUGAAUGGGCAUAGAUAACUGAGUUUGGGGUUUCUCUGAUUCAGCAACUCCUCCUUGUACUUCAGUUAUAUAAUUCAGCAUUGCCCAUGAUUUCCUCAAAGGUAAAGGUGCUGUUUGUUGCCGCAAAGCAAAAACCUUCUGAGACAUAUGUCCUUCUAGCUCCCUUCUAACUGAAGGAGAGAGCUUGAAUGUAGCCCACCUUGGAAGUCGUGGUCUCUCCUUGGAAACAGAAUUUGGCUCAUGAUCUGAUGUCAAAUGACUCUUGCUCAUUCUCUCAUCAUUUUUUUUCCUUUUUUGUUUGCAGAUAUUUAGGGGUUCAGAAAUAGAGUUGAUAAAAGAGCUCUGAGGUUGUAAGGGUGAAAGAUCUGCCAAAUUCUGAAAAAUUUUUGAUUUCUGGGGCUCUGAGAGCUGAAAAAGAGGCAGGGUUCUGCCUUGGUUCCUGAACACAGAGGAUUGCUUUUUGUGGGAAAUAGGUAAACUAUGGCUCCGGAAUUCCCAAGUUGUUCCUUCAGAAAAGACAGGAAGAUGAGACAGACUGGAGUCAUUGCAUGAUGAACUAAAGGAGAUGCUGUGGUCAGUAGAAUGUUUUGCUUUCUUAUAGUCACAACAGCAUAGAACAGUCUUCUGAGCCACAAGAACAGAGGUGGUAGAGGAAGAAAUCAUAUCCUGUGAUUCAGGCAAAUCCUGUUCCACAAGCCUUGAUCUAAGAAAUAAAGAGAAAUGUUUCAGUUUGCAUUGAAAUAGGAAAACGAAAAAAGUGGCCAUUUCAAAUGCAAAAUAUUUUUGGCCUGAAGGAGAAUUUGAAAAAAAAAAAAAGUUUCUUUCCCCAACAUCAAUUACUUAUAGAAAUAAUUUCUCCACCAGGACAAAGGGAGGAAACUGUUCCCAUUCCACCCAGAAAUGAUCCUUCCACCAGUUUGAACCCAGAACUACCCCCACAGACAAAACAAACUCUCUCUUCUCCCUCUCUCCCUCCCUCCUUCAUUCCCUUCCUUUCUUCUUUUUAAAACCUCUACCACCUUCAAUCCCCACCCAGAAACUACAUUGCCUGACCUUGCGCUUUCUAGGUAUCGGAAGAUCUGUUGAAGGCUCCGCUCCAUUGACCAGAGUAUAUAUUCCUGGGUCCAGCCCACAGGGAGUUCUGAAACACUGGAUGCAACAGUGUAUGUCAAUGUAAUUGAAGUUUCAUUAAAGUACCAGUAAGGAAAACAAUA